rnacentral:lncRNA from 1 species
CGCAUGAAAUUAUUCAAGGCCUUAUUGCCUCUCCUUAGAGUCAGUGAUGGUGAUAGGAGCUCCUUAUUGAUGCAGGGUCUUGAGAGAGAGCACCCGGAUGGGCUUCCUGUUCUCAGCUGGGACAGGUGGGUAAACCUUUGGAGGGUCAAAUUCCCGGUCGUGGUUAUUAGCGAAGAGCAUCUGGAGCCGGGAGGGCCAGUCGUCUUGCCGCCGCAGCAGCGCGUAGGUGCCCUUGUCCCCGCACAUCAUGUAGCAAUUCCAGGGGUCUUCCUUAAUGGCCCCCUGGGCAGCUCCAGGCCCCACCAAGAGGUCCACACACUCCACGCAAAAGCACCUGCAGCAGUUGCUGUUUCCACACAUGAGCAACUCGCGGCCCCCGCAGCGGAUGGUGCAGAAGGACCGGUAGCCGUCGUCGUACUGGUAUGCACACUCCAGAAAGGAGUUCUCGCAGUUUUGGUACACUCCUCCAAUGCAGAGGGGGUGUUCCAGGGUGACGUUGAGGCUCCCACAGGAGAUGCAAAUGUCCUCCAUGUUCCGGCACUUCUGCCGCACCGCAUACACCAGCCGCUCUCUUGUGCGCUCAUCGAUAAUCUCCUUGACCUUGGGCUUUUCCGUCGUGCUCUUCCGGGGCUUUUUGGCUGGUGGAGGUGGUGCCUAGGCGGCUGCCUCAGAUUCCACCCACAUGUCCGUGUACACUUCUUUGUAGGGAUUCUUCUCCUCUUCUGGUGGCUCCAGGCCCUCGGGGCCAGAGGGCUGGAAGUCUCCCAGGGCCCACUCAAUCAUCUGCUUGUUCUGCACCUCCACGGCCUUGGCAGUGUCACUCUCGUCGCUGUCGUGGCAAACCGGGAAGAGUUUCCCCGCACGGCUGCUGGCCACCUGCAGGGCCUCGUAGAUGGCUUUGCGGUACAUGGGUUCCUUGUUUCACGUGGCCUGGUGGAAAGCACUGCAAAACGAGCUCAGCGGCAUCAGCUCCUCACCACACACCACUGAGAAUUUGCCGUCUCUGAACCACAUGACCCAGCGGGUGCCUUCAGCUGCUCGGCUCCGGCCCGUCAUCCACCAAGACACAAUGCGACCUGGCCACCAGGAGAAGCCCCGCAGUUUCCCCUGCACCAGCUCCCCGGUGCCAAAGCCCUGGCCGUCCUCAUACUCCGGCUCAUGAUCGCCUGCUUUGGUGUUUUUGUCCCCAGCGUUGACGCCCAAGGGCUCAGGCGUGGUAGCCACAGUGGGGCA